AGAGAGCAGGAGACAGAGGCAGCGAGUGAGAGAAAGAAAGAGAAAGACAGACAGUGAGAGAAAGAGAACGAGGUGGAGAGAGAGACAGACAGAAAGAGUGAGAGACAGAGACAGGGAUCGAGAGAAAGAAAGAGAAAAAGAGACAGAGAGACAGAUAGAGAGAGAGAGAGUGAGAGAGAGAGAGGAAGAGACAGAGAGAGAGAGAAAGACAGAUAAAUAGUAGGUGACAUGGACACAGAUAGCGAGCCAAAGCAGGAGACAAAGAUAGACAGACAAACAGAUAGACAAACAGACAGACGUAGAGAGGGACACCAUCAGUAAGACGUUUAUUUGAAACACUCCGUUUCUCUCUUCAUCGUGUCGUUUUCCAUCUCUCACCUCGGUCAGCGGGGAUCAGCGGGACGUCCCGGGCGGUCGGAGACAGACACAUGAUGCUGUUCCCACUGACGUGACCUUCGACCUCUGCCAGGCUCCCAAAGGAACAGACUCACAGGGACGGCGUGCUCUGACAUGGCGAUGCUGUCUGGGUGGGCGGAGACUUUUACACACCGCCUGAUCUCGUCAGCGAAUCGGAACGGUUAGGAUCCAAAAUCUUCUGGACCUAAAACUGAAGACUGGACUGGCUGAUCCAAAGCUGUGUCCAUUAAAAUACUCACACCCACACACACACACACACACACACACAUACACACACGUGUUUCCUUUGAGGUCUCUAGCUGCAUUUCUGAUCCCAGCUGUGUAUUUCAGUUUUCCUGAUCCUGGAUGAUGGAUUUGUGGACCAUCAGCCAGUGUUCUCUCUCCGGCCUGAUGACUCCAGUCUGAUCCCGGAGCAGAGACGACGGGGAAUUGAUGAGGAAAUAUUAACACAACUCCGAGUAAAUGCCAGAUGAGCAUUUGGGAAACAUUGGGAAAGAAAUAGGCAAACAGGUGAAGAAUCACAAUGACACCAUGAAGAAACACAGAGAGAACCAUCAGCUGAGCGUAGGACUGUGGAGAACUCUGUGUGUGUGUGUGUGUGUGUGUGUGUGUGUGUGUUUAAUUAGCUUUCUGGUUUCUCUGCAGCUAGUUUCUGUCAGGAGUAAACGAGUUUUUCUGAGACGAGGGACAUCACAGAUGUGUUUCUGAAAGGUUUUGUAAAAAUUGUUUUCUCAAACUCAGACACGUCUACCCGGAUUCUGUCUCUGUCGACUCGCCGCACUCCCUCUGUCCCAUUUUCCCCUUCGCUUUCCUUAUAUGGUCUGUGUUUCCUGUUCUGUUUCUUGGUUGCUAUGGCAGUUAAUUAGUUAAUUAGUCACAGCUGUUUCUCAUUCCUGCCUCGGUUUCAUGUGUAUAUGUUGUAUGCGUUAAAGCUGCGGUGCCAAUUUGAGGGUUUUUUGGCUUUUCCACUUCCGGGUCUGGUCCUUAUUCCAGGUUCCGUCCUGACUCCACCCUGCCCUUGUCUUGACUCCGCCCUGGACUGUCCUGUCCUGACACCCGUCCUGACUCUGCCCUGCCCCACUCUGAUUCUGCCCUGCCCUGUCCUGACUCCGCUCUACCCUGUCCGACUCCAUCCUAUCACUGCCCACGCCAUGCCCUGUCCUGCCCCACCAAUUCCAUCCCGCUCUUUCCUGACUCUGCCCUCCCACAUCCUGACUCUGCCCUGCCCCGUCCUGACUCUACCCUUCCCUGACUCUACCCUGCCCCUUCCUGACUCUGCCCUUCCACAUCCUGAGUCUGCCCUGCCCCUUCCUGACUCUACCCUUCCCUGACUCUACCCUGCCCUGUCCUGACUCCUCCCUGUGCCACCAUUUUUUUGGUUUUCGUUGUUUAUUAUGGAUCACAAUACGAUGAUCUUUUCUGGUGAUCCAAAUUGUACUAAAGAGAUUUUUACCUGUAUAAAUAUCAUACCUAAAAAAUACAUAAUAACUGAUACCUUUGGAGUUACAGUGAGGUUUAUGGUUUUAAAAGACGUGCGCGCAUGUAUGUGUGUGUAUGUGAGUGUGUGUAUGUGUGUAUGUGAGUGUGUGGACAGACUCACUUGUUGUGAAGGACACACCAGCCGCAGUGUGGAUCACCUGAGCUUAAACACGCCUCACACCGGCUGUACUGCUCACAGUGUUCCACCGGCAUCUGGACCACCUACACACACACACACACAGGUGGAUGACGUAACGGCGGAUCGAUACACCCGAUCGAUGGGCCGAGGUGUGUUUUAUCUGAGCGGACACUGAAGACCGUAAUCAAGGCGACUGACCUCGACUCGAACACUAAACACUUUCCAACCUCAUUACACAGAACAGACAGAGUGCAUACUAAUGUUCACUAGCAGCACACAGGACCUCCACUGAUGAUUAAAGAGUAUGAAAAAAGAAUUAAAUCAAUAAAAAAAUUUACUGACUGAACUGAAAGGUACUGAUUAAAAAAUAUUAAAUAUGGUUUUAAGAUAUUUAAGGUAUAUUAAGAUAUAUUAGAAGAGGCACUGUUAUGCUGGAUAUCUGUACGGCUGUUUUUAAUCGUAACUUUCGCCAACAUAUAUAGCUAGAAAAGUCAAGACAUGAACUGUUUCCUAACUGCAGUCUUGAUUAUACAUUUACACCAAAUCAACAUUACUCAUUUUUAAUAAGUGAUAAAUAUGUGAAAUAAGGCUAAACUGCAAGUAAUAAUAUCUUGAAUAUGAGCAAAUUUGUCAAAUUUCUUAUUAUGAGAUUAUCUUAAAUCAAAUAUAAGAUUAUACAGAUUGUUUUUAGGUGCUUUUAGACAUUUCACGAUUUAAAUUUUCUUAUUUUAUUGACAGAUCAUUUUGCUUGUUUUUAGAAAUAAAUGCUUAAAAUUAAUAAAAUUUACUGCCAAUAGAACAAGACUAAUAUUUCUAGCUUGAAAUGAGUAAAAAUGUCUAGCAUUAGAUUUAAUAACCCCCUGUGUGUUGUGCUGUUAUAGUAAAAUAAUCAGUGAAGAGGAGUUACUGUUACCACCCCAAGCUGAUUAGUUUCCUCUAACAGCACAGCAUCUCCCUGCGUUUUAUUCCUCUUAUACCACAGCCAUUUACCAACGAUUACAAUUUUUAUUUAUUAAAACGAGCUCAUGAAUCAAGUUAGUUACUAUUCUCCUUUACGUCGUUCCCUCACCAGCCUCUCGCUCUUUUCUCUCUCUUCAAGUUAAUAAGACAAAAAAAAAAUCGCAGCUUGUUACGCAUGUUAUCGAGAAACCGCAAAGAAGCAUAAACUCCUCCGUCCUGAAGAUGUCGGAAAACUUUAAGUUCCAGCUUUACCUCUGACUGUUACAAAGCGCUGACACUGGAGACUCCUUCCAUACAUGUUAAAUACAUAAACAUCUCCUUACAGAAAACUUCACAUUAAUGAUUACACACGUUUUUAUUAUUAGUCUUAGUAGAAAGUGAGCUGCAUGUAAAUUUAAAUUUUCUCUACUAUUUAUCUACUAAAACAUUCAAUCUUUCAUGUUCCCUACUUUACACUCUCUCUCUCUCUCUCUCUCUCUCUCUCUCUCACUGAUGUAAUUUCCUGAUGUAAGCUAUAUUGAAUGAAAAGCGGAUUAAGGCCGAUAGUGAAAGUGAACUCCCUCCCCUCUCCGUCCCCCCUCAUCCUCGCUGGCCCAGUGGAUUAUCCUCCGUUCUUCCCAAAAUGGAUUUCUAUCUCCUUCCACUUUUCAUUGUUUACUUUAUUUUCUCUUCCAUUUUCUCUCUGGUGUGCUGCGCUGCGUUCCAUUAACCAAACGCUUUUAAAGGGGAGAAAAAUCAAAAUACAAAUCAGACGCACUCCAGAGAAAUAAACACACUCAUAUCUUCGAUUUAACUUAUUUAAUUCAUCAGUACUCACAGCAGUGUGUGUGUGUGUGCGUGUGUGUGUGUGUGUGUGUUUACUGCUACGAUUUUCCAUCAGAAGCCAGACAGUGAGAAUAUAAAUGAGAUGAUAAUUAAAGCAGGUGCCAUAAACACUCUAAACACACACACACACAUGGAGACAUUGAUGUAAGUGAAAGUAAACACUAACACCUCUUUAUUCCUCCCUCUUUAUACCACAUGAGGAGAUUCUCUAAAUCCCGAGGCAUGUGUUUAUUAUUUAUAAGCUGUUAUAGCUCCUGUAUACAUUAUUCAUAACAAUUAAUCGUGCAUUAGACUGACGAGGUGUAUAAAGAGAGCGCGUGUGGAGUGACAGGUAAAGAGUUAAACUCUACACCGUGCUCCGUUUCUGCAUUCCUCAUUUUCUCUCACUCAUACAUAAAGGUUUUAAGCAGCUAGCAUAUUCUCCAGACACUUAUUUUAUUUUAUUUAACACCAAAAAUCUAGCUACAUUGGAAACACCUAAAUUAGCCAGUAGGUUAGAGACGUAGCCAACCGAAAGGGAUGGAAAAGGAGGAGAAGUUAGCAUUAAAUGUUACGUAUAUAGUGAAUUACACCGUAUAAAAGGUGUCAGGUCAAGAAAAACAUCUGCCACAUCAACAGGACCUGUUUAUUCAUUUCUUUUCUAAGCAGACGGAGUUUAGAGAGGUGCAUCUUACACUCACUAAAUGUUUAGUGAGAUUAGAAAGUUGUGCUUCUUGAACUACACGCUGUAUCUUUCAGAAAUCAUCAGCAUCACAAUAACACAAUAACACAAUAAUCUCAUUUCACUGAUAAAAAAAGAAUUGAUUAUCUUACUAAUGCGCCUCGUAUGGCUGUGAUUUACGCCCUGUGUGUGCGGUGAGGAACGUUAGGCGAGUUUGAAGAAGGUUACAUGUUGACAACAACAUCAUAAAUUAUGCCGUUUCAUUUGUCAGAGAUGAAAUUAUUACAGAAUGGUGAAUAUUGUACAGAUUGUUAUGAGAGCUGAGGAUCAAAACAUCUACAGCAGGAGAAAAAAGCAAGAAGGUUUACAUGCCGAGCCUCGGUUUGAUGCGAUGUCUGAAACAUAGUAAUGCAGUGUAAUGAUGAUUCAAUUCAAUUUUAUUCGUAUAGCGCUUUUAACAAUAGACAUUGUCACAAUGCAGCUUUACAGAAAUAAAUGGAUUCAAAAAAUAUAUUGUAAAUAUGUGAAUUUAUCCCUAAUGAGUGAGUCAGAGGUGACGGUGGUGAGGAAAAACUCCCUGAGACGACAUGAGGAAGAAACCUUGAGAGGAACGAGGCUCAGAAGGGAACCAUCCUCAUCUGAGUGACACCCGAUAGUGCGAUUAUAAAUCACUUCUCUUCUAUUAUUGUGUACUAUAUGGACAAAUAGUGCAGUUGUGCAACCAGUAAAUUCAUCACAGUUUUCGCAAGAAGUCCAGAUCAAAUCUAUGAUACAGCUUUAUUGAUUCACAUUUUAUUUACUUCUUGAUUGAGUUCAUCUAAUAAUUUAUCUGCUUUACAUUCUUUAUUUUUUUCAAUCAAAUUUACUUUCUUAUUUUGACUUUUACAUUUAAUUGUACUUAUAUACUAUUUUGUGUUUUGCUUUUGUAUUGUCUGUUCAGCAUUUCAUGAUGCAAAGCUGAUUUGCUGUAGAAAUAAACGUCAUUUGAACUGAGUGUUAUUUAUUUCUCUGUAUUUUAAGAUAAUAAAGAUAACAGAACUCAAAUGUUUGUAAAGUGUGAAUACUCGGAAGUGCAGAGAGCCAAUCAGGUUGCAACCGUCAUCAUUCUGAAGCUUGUGGCCAGAAAAGUCUACAAGCAAUAUUAGGACAGAGUGACUGAUGCUACAUGUCCUAAGCCCUAAUGUCUGCAUGUAUAAAUAUUAAAACAGCCUUUACACGUGUAAGUAGGCAUCUGUUUUAUUGGGUGACGUCUCUACAGUAGGGAUUCUGUGUGGUGGGCUGCCCAUGUAGACCUCCAGGAUGAAAUCGGAUCACAUCAUCUAGUAGAAAACACAAAUGUACACGAGUCGCUGUCGCUGCGUUUCAGUGGUGGAGUGGUUAACAUCAGAAGAAGAAGGUCAAAUCCCAGCUAGAUCUUUGGAGUUGUGCUGGGGAACAGCCUGAGAUGGAAACGUAACGUUCUAGCAGCUGCACAAUGCCUUCCUGCUCUGGGGAGAAAUGAGCAUAAACCAUAUGUUCCCUCAUACCUUCAGUACCUUUAUCCGUAUCCACCUCACGCUCCUUCCUACUCCACCUCCUUCACACACUAUACACUUCUCCAUUAAACAUCUCACAGCUUGAUCCUAGCAGAGACAAGGUCAGAGUUUAACGAGCAACCUCACAAACACUUUGUCAGACUGCAAGAAAGAUAAGUAUUGAUUAGAGGAAAGACUCCCAGGUGAGAUGUCAAAGCUCCAUCAUUUUUUUAAUGUUCUGGCUCACACUUCUCCACUUUGUAAGCUGAAACACAAGUCUGAUGUGUAGCUGCUCAUCUCCUUCUGUAGUGUAGUGGUUAACACCACAGCUCCUGCUGUUAAACACAGGUUCAAAUCUGUGCUUUUGUGAGUUUCAUAAUCAAAAAAUGGUUAAAAAAUUAGAGUUCAAAAAAAGCUGUGUGCUUUGCGAGGGCCUGUGGCUUAAUUGGAAGGGAUUUGCUUCUAGGUUCUUAGUUUGCCAGGUCAAACCCCAGCCAGGUCUCAGGGCUAUGGUUGUUAAAGAUAGAGGAGCUACCUUCCCAUGUGGUGCAAGAUGAUUGGAUGGCAAGAGUGGAGAAGAAGGUGGAGUUGUAUCUAGGGAGAUGGAAAGCUAAACAAAGUGUGUUAUGGUGACUCUUUUCUUUUCCACUUUUUGGGUACUCAUAAUUAUCAACCAUCUUCCUACCACCCAGACUAGUCAGUUCCAAAACCUUCUACCAUCACACUGCUCCAAACAAACCCUUGAGUCAGAGAAAGAUUUAACCCAGAAACCUCACGUACAUGAGGCAAGGCUGAUACCACAAACCCUCCAACUCCAACUCACCUGCGUCUCAUAAUAACCUGAUUAGAUUAACUGGAUCAGCUCUGUUGGUCUGAGGCUGGAAGUGAAUUUUGGUUAGAAGAUGAACCUCGAGGAACUGGAUUAGUGAAGUCGUAGCUGUUUUAUGAAGUAAACGGACGUGAGAAAUGCUUCUUGAAAGUGUGCUGGAAAAAGUAACGGAAUAUAACUAUAGAUAACUAUAUAAUGAGAUAUGACUAGACAUAAAAAUAUCAGGCAACUCAAAUAAACAAUUGAAUAAAGAAACCUAUCGAUUCCACAACACACCUAACUAGCAUUGAGGUUUGUUGUUGUUGGUGUUGGACUUCACUCACAGCUUCAGCUUGGUGAGGAGUGAUGAAACUCACUCUAUGGGAGCUCAAAGAGGAUUUGCAUUCAGGUUUGUCAUUCGUAAGUCAAAAGUCCAAUAAGCAACUGUCCCACUCUGUCCUUUGGUGACGCAGUGGUUAACAUCAUGGGCUCUCAUGCUGGUGGUCACUGGUUCUAGUCUGAGCUUUUACUCAUUUCAGCAGGAAGAUGCAAAAGACAAAAGUGAAAAGUCCUAUAAGAAGAGGGUUUGGUGUGAGAUCCUGUAGCUCAACUGGCUGAGUGUUGCCUCUGGGUUCUGAGGCUGCUGGUUCAAGCACCAGCCAGGUCUCCAGGACAUGAUGGUUGAUGAGGUCAGUAGGCGCAGUUGGAUAGAGCAUGUAGCUUGGGUGGCUGGGGGUAACAAGGGGGCAGCUGGGCCCCCAAGAAGGUGCAAAAGGAGAAGAGGUGGUCAUAGUGUCUUGAAAUAGGUUUUUAAACAAGAAAGUUCAAUACUACCCCCCCCCACCACCACAACUCC